rnacentral:rRNA from 1 species
CGGCGGACGGGUGAGUAACACGUGGAUAACCUACCUAUAAGACUGGGAUAACUUCGGGGAACCGGAGCUAAUACCGGAUAAUAUAUUGAACCGCACGGUUCAAUAGUGAAAGACGGUUUUGCUGUCACUUAUAGAUGGAUCCGCGCCGCAUUAGCUAGUUGGUAAGGUAACGGCUUACCAAGGCAACGAUGCGUAGCCGACCGGAGAGGGUGAUCGGCCACACUGGAACUGAGACACGGUCCAG